GACGGGGUAGCUCAAUUGGCAGAGCGGGAGAACAUCCUUGCUAAUCCUUACCCGGUUCGGGUCGCUGCGUGAGGAUUAUCGCCUUCUAAGCGCCUGGUUGCAGGUUCGAGACCUGCCCCCGUCA
rnacentral:tRNA from 1 species